ensembl:lncRNA
GUUUUAAACCCCUGAUUUACACCUUACAGAUGUUUGAUGCUUGAAUCUUUCUCCCCACCCUCGUCCCUGUCCAUGAACGGGUCAUUGGUGCAGUAGACCUGCUAAGGGACCCUGUGUGGAUUGACUGUGGGCUGUGGACAUAUCACUUCCUACCAGAGAUGAGGGGAACAGCUUGAGUCUGACGUCAGAGAGCGGGAAAGACCUAGAGACCUGUCUCUAGCUGGACCUCCAUAUCACAUACUACCGUCCUUAUUCCCCUUCCCCCACACCACCAUCACUGGCAUCUGUUUCUACCACCACCUCCACUCACUGGGAAGGAUUUGGGAUGACAGUUAACCUCCUCAGCUCUAUCUCACUCCUCCUCACCACCCAGGGAUAACCAGCACUAGAACCUCUGUACCCUGAGAGGCACACUACCACCCUCCCUCACCUCCCCCCAGCUGGCAUCAUGAUGGGAGAUGGAGUUGGGAACUGGGAGUGUCUGAGUCCGUCUGAGUUUGGUCAGCUGCAGCAAUACAGCGAGUAUUCCACCAAGAAGCUCAAGGAUGUUCUGGAGGAGUUUCACGGUGAAGGAGUCCUCUCCAAGUACAAUCCUGAGCAGCCCAUAGACUAUGAGGGUUUCCAGCUCUUCAUGACCACAUACCUGGAGAACGACAUCCCUGAGGAACUGUGUCAGCACCUGUUCACCUCCUUCAAGAGCAAGACAGGGGGCUGCUCUCCUGAGGUGCCCCGUGCUGGAGCAGGACUGGGGGGAAGAGGUGGUGUUACUCCUGAGAGGAGUCCGUCACCCCAGAAGGGCUCCCCCUUACCCUCCCCCCAGGUGGUGUUUCUGAAGGACAUUGUGUGUUACCUGUCCCUGCUGGAGAGGGGCACACCAGAGGACAAGCUGGAAUUCAUGUUCCGGCUGUACGACACAGAUGGCAAUGGAGUACUGGACAGCUCGGAACUGGACCGCAUCAUCAAUCAGAUGGUCCACGUGGCAGAGUACCUGGAAUGGGACUCUACAGAGCUGCGACCAAUCCUGAAGGAGAUGAUGGAAGAGAUAGACUAUGACCGAGACGGAACAGUCACUCUGGAGGAGUGGAUCAGAGGAGGCCUCACCACCAUCCCUCUGCUGGUCCUGCUGGGUAUGGAGACGGUAAGGCACUUUGUGUGUUGUUCAAACUGUCUCUCUCUGUACCUCUGUGUUUCAGUAUGCAAGUACACAGUCCAUGAACGCUGUGUAUCCAAAGACAUCGCUGCCUGCAUCAGCACCUACGCCAAGUCCCGCAGACACACUAAUGCUAUGCAGCACGUGUGGAUGGAGGGAAACUCUCCCACUAAGUGCGACCGCUGUCACAGAAGUAUCAAGUGCUACCAGGGCUUAACGGGCCUACACUGUGUGUGGUGUCAGAUCACUCUCCAUAAUAAGUGUGCGUCCAACAUGAAACCGGAGUGUGAUGGAGGAGCCCUUAGAGACCACACUCUACUCCCAUCCUACAUCUGCCCUGUAGUCCUGGUGAGAUCACACGACCGUCAUUCUGUCAUGAAGCGGGGUGAAGGGGACUCCCCACCCAGCACCAGCCCCGACGACCCGAGUCAAAGCUUCAAAUUCACAGGAGACGGACAAGCACUGCAGAUCACUCCUCUCCCAGGCACACAUCCCCUCCUGGUCCUGGUCAACCCAAAGAGUGGCGGGAGACAAGGGGAGCGGGUAUUGAGAAAGUUCCAGUACCUGCUGAACCCCAGACAGGUGUACAGUCUAGACCGAGAGGGACCCAUGGUGGGGCUCAACUUCUUCCAUGAUGUCCCUGAUUUCCGGGUGCUGGCGUGUGGAGGGGAUGGGACAGUGGGAUGGAUCUUAGACUGUAUUGACAAGGCCAACUUCACCAGAGAUCCCCCUGUGGCCAUCCUCCCUCUGGGCACAGGGAACGACCUGGCAAGAUGCCUACGCUGGGGUGGAGGUUAUGAAGGAGGCAGUCUUCUGAAGUUCCUGCGGGACAUAGAGCACAGCACAGAGAUGGUUCUGGACCGAUGGAACAUCGACAUCGUCCCUGUUGACAAGGAGGAGAAGGGAGACCCUGUCCCCAACAGCAUCGUCAACAACUACUUCUCCAUCGGAGUGGAUGCGUCCAUCGCUCAUCGCUUCCACUUGAUGAGAGAGAAGCACCCAGAGAAAUUCAACAAGACCAUCUCUGCCACGUGCAAGAAACUCAACGAGUGUAUCGAAGUGGAGUGUGAUGGUAUCAUCCUGGACCUCAGCAGCACGUCGUUGGAAGGCAUCGCCGUCCUCAACAUACCCAGCAUGCAUGGCGGCUCCAACCUGUGGGGCGAGACCAAGAAGAGGAGGAACUACAGCCGCAUGAGCAAGAAGGUUCCGGACAGGAUGCCCGCCAGUACCGUCACCGAUAUAAAGGAGCUCAAAUUCUGUGUUCAGGACCUGAGUGACCAGUUGCUAGAGGUGGUGGGUCUGGAGGGGGCCAUGGAGAUGGGGAAGAUCUACUCAGGCCUGAAGAGUGCUGGCCGUAGACUGGCCCAGUGUGCUAACGUCACCAUCAGGACAUCCCGGCUGCUGCCCAUGCAGAUCGAUGGGGAGCCUUGGAUGCAGCCCCCAUGCACGAUCAAGAUCACACAUAAGAACCAGGUUCCCAUGCUACUGGGCCCUCCUCAGAAGACCCCCUUCUUGUUCUUCAAGAGACGCAACAGAAGUCGGGACUAUGAGUGAGGAGGACACUUCAAACUCCCCCCUCUUCACAAACACAUUCACCAACCUCUUGGGACAACUCAAUAGGUCCCACAGACCAAGUCAUUGCCCCUUGGACCUACAGUACCACUUCAGAAUGAACUGACUUCCUCUCAGUGUAAUGACCACUUCCUGUGUAUCCAUGUUCUAGCUUCUAGAACUUCCUGUGAACUCUGAACUCUGACCCUGCCACUGGCACACUAGCUCAGUCAACCCCAGCUCCAGACUCAGCU